CCUACGGGAGGCAGCAGUGAGGAAUAUUGGUCAAUGGGCGCGAGCCUGAACCAGCCAAGUAGCGUGAAGGCUGACUGCCCUACGGGUUGUAAACUUCUUUUAUAAAGGAAUAAAGUGAGGCACGUGUGCCUUUUUGUAUGUACUUUAUGAAUAAGCAUCGGCUAACUCCGUGCCAGCAGCCGCGGUAAUACGGAGGAUCCGAGCGUUAUCCGGAUUUAUUGGGUUUAAAGGGAGCGUAGAUGGGUUGUUAAGUCAGUUGUGAAAGUUUGCGGCUCAAACGUAAAAUUGCAAUUGAUACUGGCAGUCUUGAGUGAGCGAGAAGUAUGCGGAAUGCGUGGUGUAGCGGUGAAAUGCAUAGAUAUCACGCAGAACUCCGAGUGCGAAGGCAGCAUACCGGCGCUCAACUGACGCUCAUGCACGAAAGCGUGGGUAUCGAACAGGAUUAGAUACCCGAGUAGUC
rnacentral:rRNA from 1 species